AUUUUGUUGUCCAAGAAGUGUUCUUUUUUUCUCAGUGUAAAAAAUACGAUCCACAAAGUGCAUGCAGGAACGAGCGGAAAGGGAACGUAUUGGAAAUAUGAUCCAAACUGUUUUGUUGUCAUUAAAUGUUGAUGUGUCAUCAGGGGGUGUCACCUAAAAAUUUAAAUAACUUGCAAGUGCACUAAAAUGUUGCAAGUUCAAACGAAAAAUCCUGGAAUUUGCCAGAACCACGGAGCAGAGUUCAAACAGAGUUUCAGAAAUGCAAAUCCCUGCUGGAUCCGGGAAACACCGUCCGCAGUCACCUUCAGGAAUAUGGUAUCCGGAAGGCCCUGGUGCAAUCCGCACUGAAGAGACGUAACCCAGUGACAAUACGCUGGAGCCAGAGUGAAGACUUCGUCGGCAUCUGGAGUUUUAGAAUCUAUCAGCAAUAUUUCCGGAA